AUCAGCCUUUUCGGGUGCGAUUCUGUGGGGUUUGAGGAGCUCAACACCUUCAUGCUUUGCAUAUUCGUGCUCUUGGGUGUACUUGCCCGUGUGGUUGGUUAACAUCAAUUUUGGUGGUCAUAAAAUGACUGGAGGAAUGUAGCUUCGAUCUCGUAUUGAAGUGUUACAGCCUUCGGUAGAUGUGAUGAUCGAGAUUGAGGAUUGCAACGGAUACCCUUCGGGGCUACCUGUCUGAUCUCUGAUCGUUGUUCUGGUGCCGAAAGCUUGCUUACGGUUAUCAAAGUCGAUGGUCAAUAGGUUAGAAUGGGUUAAAUUCGUUAAGGAUGUUGACGUAAUGGCUUU
rnacentral:rRNA from 1 species